UACGUAGGGGGCAAGCGUUGUCCGGAGUUACUGGGCGUAAAGGGCGCGCAGGCGGUUCGGCAAGUUUGGAGUGACAGUGCUCGGCUUAACUGAGCAAGGCCUUCAAAAACUGCGGGACUUGAGGACUUGAGAGGGACAUAGAAUUCCGGGUGGAGUGGUGAAAUGCGUAGAUAUCCGGAGGAAUACCAAAGGCGAAGGCAGUGUCCUGGCAAGUAACUGACGCUGAGGCGCGAAAGCUAGGGGAGCGAAC
rnacentral:rRNA from 1 species